rnacentral:rRNA from 1 species
GACGAACGCUGGCGGCGUGCUUAACACAUGCAAGUCGAACGGAAAGGCCCUUCGGGGUACUCGAGUGGCGAACGGGUGAGUAACACGUGGGUGAUCUGCCCUGCACUUUGGGAUAAGCCUGGGAAACUGGGUCUAAUACCGAAUAGGACCACGCGCUUCAUGGUGUGUGGUGGAAAGCUUUUGCGGUGUGGGAUGGGCCCGCGGCCUAUCAGCUUGUUGGUGGGGUAAUGGCCUACCAAGGCGACGACGGGUAGCCGGCCUGAGAGGGUGACCGGCCACACUGGGACUGAGAUACGGCCCAGACUCCUACGGGAGGCAGCAGUGGGGAAUAUUGCACAAUGGGCGCAAGCCUGAUGCAGCGACGCCGCGUGAGGGGUGACGGCCUUCGGGUUGUAAACCUCUUUCAAUAGGGACGAAGCGCAAGUGACGGUACCUAUAGAAGAAGCACCGGCCAACUACGUG